rnacentral:tRNA from 1 species
GGUUGGCUCAGUGGUAGAGUACUUGCCUUGCAUGCAUGAGGCCCUGGGUUCAAUUCCUCAGCACCA